rnacentral:rRNA from 1 species
UUAAGCUACAAAGAGCGUAGGGUGAAUAGCUAGGCACCAAGAGCCGAAGAAGGACGUGAUAAGCUGCGAAAAGCCGCGUGUAGGUGCAAAUGACCUGUGAUGCGCGGAUCUCCGAAUGGGACAACCCGCCGUCUUGAAGGGACGGCAUUCCGCUCAAUGCGGAAGGCGAACGCAGGGAACUGAAACAUCUUAGUACCUGCAGGAAGAGAAAAUAACAAUGAUUCCCCCAGUAGUGGCGAGCGAACGGGGAAGAGCCCAAACCAUGCAUGUCGCAAGGCAUGUGUGGGGUAGUAAGGCCGCCAGAAGCCAUGUACGAGGUGAGCAGAACGGACUGGAAAGUCCGGCCGCAGCGGGUGAAAGCCCCUUAUGCGAAGCCUGUGUGCAUGCAGGGCGAGACCUUGAGUAGCGCGGGACACGUGGAAUCCUGUGUGAAUCAUCCGGGACCAUCCGGAAAGGCUAAAUACUCGCAAGAGACCGAUAGUGAACCAGUACCGUGAGGGAAAGGUGAAAAGUACCUCGAGCAGAGGAGUGAAAUAGAACCUGAAACCGUACGCCUACAAGCGGUCGGAGCUGUUUUAUAACAGUGACGGCGUGCCUUUUGCAUAAUGAACCUACGAGUUGCCGUCGUUGGCAAGGUUAAGGCCCGAGAGUGCCGCAGCCGAAGCGAAAGCGAGUCUGAACAGGGCGUAAAGUCAGCGGAGGCAGACGCGAAACCAAGUGAUCUACCCUUGUCCAGGAUGAAGUCUGGGUAACACCAGAUGGAGGUCCGAACCAAUAAGCGUUGAAAAGCUUCUGGAUGAGGUAAGGGUAGGAGUGAAAGGCCAAUCAAACUUGGAGAUAGCUCGUACUCCCCGAAAAGCAUUUAGGUGCUGCCUUCAGUGAUGAUUGCCGGAGGUAGAGCGACUGAUAGGAUGCGAGGGCUUCACCGCCUAUCAAGUCCUGAUAAACUCCGAAUGCCGGUAAUUUAGCUGUGGAGAAAGGGCGAGGGUGCUAAGGUCCUCGCCCGAGAGGAGAAGAAUCCGGACCGCCGGCUAAGGCCCCGGAGUGCAUGUUAAGUUAGUCUAACGAAGUACGGCCCCCGUGACAGCUAGGAUGUUGGCUUGGAAGCAGCCAUUCAUUCAAAGAGUGCGUAACAGCUCACUAGUCGAGGGUCUGUGCGUGGAUAAUAAUCGGGUAUUAAACAUGCCGCCGAAGCCGCGGGAUUGCACUUUUUAAUGGUGUAAUCGGUAGGGGAGCAUUCCAUGUGCGUUGAAUGUAUUCCGUAAGGGGUGCUGGAGCGUAUGGAAAAGCAAAUGUAGGUAUAAGUAACGAUAAAGAGGGUGAGAUGCCCUCUCGCCGAAAGACUAAGGUUUCCUGGGCGACGUUAAUCGUCCCAGGGUCAGUCGGGUCCUAAGGAUAAGCCUAAUGGCGAGGCCGAACGGAUGAAACGGUUAAUAUUCCGUUACUAUCUGCGUCGAGCGACGCGGUGACGGGGCGGUGACACUUCCGCGUCCUUACGAAUCAGGGCGUUGAACGGCAAAGGUGUAGAUUGCGGUAGUGAAGUACGCCGCGAGAGCCGAAGCCGGAAAGUACGCGAGUCCUCCGGGAUGAGCGAUAGUGAAGGUAAUAGCCUCCGAGAAAACCCGCUAAGCAUUAUGAUGGUGCAGGUACCCGUACCGUAAACGGACACACGUAGUUGGGUAGAAAAUACUAAGGCGCUAGGGAGAUUCACGGUUAAGGAACUAGGCAAAUUGACCCCGUAACUUCGGAAUAAGGGGUCCUCACGCGAGUGAGGCGCAGAGAAUAGGUCCAGGCAACUGUUUAACAAAAACACAGGGCUGUGCGAAAUCGAAAGAUGAGGUAUACAGUCUGACACCUGCCCGGUGCCGGAAGGUUAAGAGGAGAUGUUAUCGCAAGAGAAGCAUUGAAUUGAAGCCCCGGUAAACGGCGGCCGUAACUAUAACGGUCCUAAGGUAGCGAAAUUCCUUGUCGGGUAAGUUCCGACCUGCACGAAUGGUGUAAUGAUCCGGACGCUGUCUCAACCAUGAGCUCAGUGAAAUUGUAGUAUCGGUGAAGAUGCCGAUUACCCGCGAUGGGACGAAAAGACCCCGUGAACCUUUACUGCAGCUUAACGUUGUGACCGGGCAGCGGAUGUGUAGGAUAGGCCGGAGGCUAUGAAGCGGGUACGCCAGUAUUCGUGGAGCCGCCGUUGAAAUACGGCCCUUCCUCUGUCUGGUUCCUAACUCGAGAUUCGAGGACACCGUUUGGCGGGCAGUUUGACUGGGGUGGUCGCCUCCAAAAGCGUAACGGAGGCUUCUAAAGGUGCCCUCAGGCCGAUUGGUAACCGGCCGUAGAGUGUAAUGGCAAAAGGGCGCUUGACUGGGAGGCCGACAAGCCGAUCAGGUGGGAAACCAGAGCAUAGUGAUCCGGUGGUUCCGUAUGGAAGGGCCAUCGCUCAAAGGAUAAAAGGUACUCCGGGGAUAACAGGCUGAUCCCUCCCAAGAGCUCAUAUCGACGGAGUGGUUUGGCACCUCGAUGUCGGCUCGUCACAUCCUGGGGCUGGAGAAGGUCCCAAGGGUUGGGCUGUUCGCCCAUUAAAGUGGCACGCGAGCUGGGUUCAGAACGUCGUGAGACAGUUCGGUCUCUAUCUAUCGUGGGCGUUGGAAAUUUGCGUGGCUCUGACACUAGUACGAGAGGACCGUGUUGGACUGACCUCUGGUUUACCGGUUGUGCCGCCAGGCGCACCGCCGGGUAUCCAUGUCGGGAUCGGAUAAGCGCUGAAAGCAUCUAAGUGCGAAGCCGGCCACAAGAUUAGAUUUCCUUAUGAGGGUCGUCAAAGACGAUGACGUUGAUAGGAGGUAGGUGUAAAGACAGUGAUGUCAAAGCCGAGCCUUACUAAUUGCCCGAAACUUGCAGUC